rnacentral:rRNA from 1 species
UACGUAGGGUGCGAGCGUUGUCCGGAAUUAUUGGGCGUAAAGAGCUUGUAGGCGGUUUGUCGCGUCUGCCGUGAAAGCCCAGGGCUUAACCCUGGGUCUGCGGUGGGUACGGGCAGACUAGAGUGUGGUAGGGGAGACUGGAAUUCCUGGUGUAGCGGUGAAAAUGCGCAGAUAUCAGGAGGAACACCGGUGGCGAAGGCGGGUCUCUGGGCCGAAUACUGACGUGAGGAGCGAAAGCGUGGGGAGCGAACAGG